UAAUGUUGAAAAGUGGAAGAGAUUAAUUUGUCUGUAUUUGUGAAGAGACUGAAGGUUUGAAAUACAGCCAUUAUGAAUAGAUGAUGAUAGAUAAUAAAUUAUAAUCUGUAAAAUAUCUAUAUAAUAAUAACAAUAAUUUCAAAAAAUGAUUAUUAUAUUAGAUAUUAGUCCAGAUCUAUUUUACAGUCAAACAGCUAAAAUAUAUUCAUGUAAACAGAUUAUGUGCAAUUGGCACUUCAAAUGUGAAAAGGGUUUGCGGUUAAAGAACAUUAAGAACGGUUUAAAAAACACACACAAAGUAAUUAUGAGAUAAAUACAUGCAUAAAUUCGGGCAGAUACAAGUCAAGAGCAUGACUGUUGGUUUCAGAUGGACUGGCUGGAGUAUUUUUUAAGUUGUUGUACUUCAGCUUUUCAAAUCAUUUUAGUUAUCAGUAAAGGUUAAAGUGCAUAAAGUGGUCUGAAAUUUGAGCAGAUAAGACUUGCUAAUAAUUGUGCAUCAGAUAAAUCAGGACACAAUAAGCAAGUGAUUUUUAAAAACACAUCAGUCAUUUUUAGAUGGGCAAUCAUAUCACAUUGAAUUUAUAUUAUGAAAUAGGGCUGUGCAAAAGAUCGAAUUUAAAGUUGGAUCGCGAUUCUCAUUCAGGUCGAUCUCGACGAUAAGCUAAGGGCAUUUUUUAUUCGAUAUGGACAGGUCUAGCAGCCAGACCCCGCAGCGGAAACAGGGCGGGCUGAGCACUACCAUGUAUUUACAGUUACCGCCCACUUGUUGAGACAGCGUGAGAGGAGGCAGAGUUAGCCAGCCAGUUCGCUGCACUAAAAAGAAGAACAGGAUGAGUGAGGCUGGGGACAUUCGAAGUGAUGAACAUGGGAGCAAACUCGUUUUACCCUCUCAAGACAGCAUUGUUGAUAAAACUUCCCAGGCUACAUCAGUAGUAUAGAAAUGGUUUGGUUAUUGGAAAACUGACGCGGAGGAGAUCAAACCAGUCUGUAAAAUAUGUAAACGGUCAGUGUUAACAAAGACGGGUAAAACAAUCAACCUGUUUAAUCACCUGAAAAGAUACUACCCUUAUGAACACAAAGUGAUCAUGAAAAACCGUGCUGUCUCUACCUCAGUUAACGCUACCUCCUCGUUUCCAUCCGACAGUGCGAGUGCUAACGUUAGCUUUGCUAGCACUAGCAGUGCUUCACAACACCAGCCGUCAAUAGGGUCAUCGAUUGCUGCCAUCACACCUUAUGAUAAACAUUCAAAACGGGCGAAAAAUAUAACAAGCGCUGUUGCAUAUUGCAUAGCAAAAGACUUGAUGCCAAUAAACACUGUGGAAAAGGACGGGUACAAAAAAAAUUAAUCAAAGUGUUGGACAGCAGAUAUGAACUCCCUGGCAGAAAGUACUUCUCCCACACUGCACUGCCUCACCUAUAUGAUACAUGUCGGGCAAAACUUGAACGUGAGCUCCAGAAUGUAACCUAUUUUGCUACAACUACAGACAUUUGGUCCAGUCGGACAUCUCAGCCCUAUUUAAGUCUCACUAUUCAUUGCAUAGACGACAUGUGGGCUUUACAGAGCAGGUGUUUGCAAACACUAUAUUUCCCAGAGGAUCAUACUGGUGACAUAAUAAGCCAGGGGCUGGAAGAUGCUUUGGUGUCCUGGGGUCUUACAGAGGAUCGUCAGGUCUGCGUAACAACUGACAAUACCGCAAACAUGGUCAAAGCCACCUCUUUAAAAGGUUGGACAAGACUGCAAUGCUUUGGGCACUGCCUGCAUCUUGCAGUUGAGGGAAGUCUGAAGGACAAAUGGGUUGAAAGGGCCAUGGGUGUGUGCAGAAAGGUUGUUGGUGCCUUUUCUUUUUCAUGGAAAAAGAAGAAAGAACUUGCUGCUGCUCAAGAGGAGUUUCAACUACCAAAACACAAAUUGGUAACAGAAUCACCGACUAGGUGGGGGUCCCGCAUUGCAAUGGUGGACCGAGUGUUAGAGCAAGAGAAGCAUUGCUAAGGUUUUAUCUUCUGACAAAAAAAAAACCCGGCACCUACCUCCAUCGUGGCAGGACACAGAGGUCCUUGAGGCUGUCCACAAAGCCCUAAAUCCUCUUAUUGAAUUCACUGAUGCAUUGUCUGGUGAGCAAUAUGUUAGCGUAUCAUAUAUAAAACCUGUGCUUCACCUCUUUAAUCAGGAGGUUUUGAAGCCAGCAGAUGACACAGACCUCACCAAACACAUCAAGAAUACUGUCACAACUUACUUAAAUCAAAAGUAUGAUGACGCUGCCACAGACCAUCUUCUCAACAUUGCAUCACUUGUCGAUCCACGCUUCAAGACCCGGUACAUUCAAGAUGAAAAAUUAGAGACUGUAAAGAGCACAGUAGUUGUGCAGAUGCUCAGUGGAAACUCAACUCUUGCAUCCAGGUUGGAUGGAGACAGUAGAGAAUCUAGAGAUGAUAGUUUAAUUUUAGCUACACCAGCCGAAGUCCAGAAAAAGACACUGGGAAGCUUUUUCAAAAAGUCUGCGUCUAAGGUCUUGUCCUCUGCCCUAACAGAACAGCAGGUUCUUGAAGCUGAACUCAACAGUUACUUUCUGGCUCCAUAUGUAGACAGCAAGACCAAUCCCCUGGAAUGGUGGAAGGUCCAUUGUACAACUUACCCUAGAGUGAGCCUCCUUGCAAAACUAUACUUGUGUAUUCCUGCCACUAGCUCACCCUCAGAAUGUGCCUUUAGCACAAGUGGCAAUAUUGUGACAUGCCACAGAGCAGCUUUAAAGCCAGACGCAGUGGACAGAUUAGUCUUUCUGGCCAAAAAUCUGUGAUUAUUUUCAAAUGUGCAUUGUAAUUUCAAGACAACAGUAGUUUACAAUGUUUGUACAACUUGCACUUUCUUUUAUAGUCUUCCUUAUUGAUAAAUGUAAAGACUUUUUUGUGUGUUUACCAGUACUUGAAGACUUAGUCUUUCUGGCCAAAAAAUGUGAUUGUUUUUCAAUAUGCACUGUAAGUACAAGAUUAUUGUAGUUUACAAUAUUUGCACUUCUUGUCUGAAGUUCCCUGUUCGAGAAAUGUGAAGACAUUUUAUUUCUUAUGUUAACCAGUACUUUAAGUUGCAGUGUUUAUCUGUUUAGUCAUUUUAUUAAACAGAUUUUCUAAAAUUCUAUCUAGUGUAUCAUCUUAAUCCUAAUUAUUGCAACAGUACUUAUUACUAUGUUUAUUUAUAAAGCUUUGUUUAUUUAUAAAGAAAAGAUAGAUCGAAAAAAAUCGAGAUCGACCAAUAUGGGGAAAAAAAAUCGUGAUGAGAUAUUUUGCCAGAUCACCCAGCCCUAUUAUGAAAUGUUAUUUUCUUUCACUUCACAAACUAUUGUCACGUCACAAGCCAUUCAGUUCCUGUUUGUAAUUAAUACAGUAAUAUAAAAAAUAUAAAACAAUAUAUGACAGUACCAACAAUAUCUCAUCAUAGUGUAUCAUGACACAAUUAAGCAUGAUAUCAAUAUUAUAUCAUUAUAUUGCCCAGCCCUUUGCCACACUGUCACACAAUUUGUGGGCAUUUUUCCUUGGUUAGUAACUAUAUCAAUUUCCCAUGUAGGGCAACAGAAAAGCAUUUAUCCUGUUGUCUGUAGGUCACAAGUUCAAAUCCAGAUGCAAUAUAAAAUGAGUUGCUGGGUGUUAUGUUUAGUUAAAAAUUGCCUUGCUUUUUUCUAAACCUAAAAGGAACGCCUUUAAUACACAUUUGGAAAAUGUUUUAGUGUUGAUUUCAUUUUAAAUGAAUGUAAAAUUAAUUUAUCUUCUUUGCUUUACAGAUGAAACCCCAAGUUCUAAUUUUUAUUUACUUAGGAGGAUCCAUGUUACACUUUGUGAAAUGUUACAGCAGUGGCCAUUUUAUUGACGUGCCCGAUAUUUGUCAGACUAUGGCAGUUAAGCACGGCAGCGCUAAGCCUCAGGAAGGUGAAUCACCUUAUAAAAUUGACCCAGAUAAUAUCACUGUUGUUCCUGAAGAUGUGGGAAAACCCAUUAAGGUAACACUGAGAGCUGAUAUAGGUGAAUCAUUCAACGGUUUUAUGCUGGAAGCACGAAAACCAGGUGACACAAAUCCUCAGGGGACUUUUUCUUUGAAAGAAGAAAGUUUAACCAGACUUCAAGAAUGUGAUGGGAUAAAUGGUAAAGCGGUAACACAAACAAAUAACAGAAAAAAAACUUUAAUCACGAUCACAUGGAGUGCUUCUGAAACUGGAAUAUAUUUUUUCAGGGCUACAUUCACUAAGACUUAUGACAUAUUCUGGCUCACUAAAGAUGUCCCUAACACAACCCUGGCACCACCGACAACCACCACCAUAAUAAUGUCAGAUGUCUCUUCCACAACCCUGGCACCACCGACAACCAUAACCAAAAUGAACUCAACCUCAGAUUUCAAUAUCUCUCACUCAUCAUGUGAUCGCUUACUCUGCACUUGCUGAGAGCAGUCCUUUACUAGUGAAAGAUAGCGUAUGUGUUUGGACCAAGGUGACAUCAUUUCUGUCUUUGGCAUUUUCACUGGCUGCAUUCAUCCUCUCAAUGAUAGACACUGGACAAGUAAGAAUAUUGUGUAUCAAAUGUAUUCCAGCUAGUUCCAGGUGUCAGAGUGCUAGAAAUUUCAACCCACCUGCACUCUUAAUGUUCUAAUCUGCCGCAUCAACUUUAAAUAAUAUAUAGUCAUAUUUCUAGGGUUUUGAAUACAAAAGGUUACUGUUAAUAUACACUGAUCAGGCAUAACAUUAUGACCACCUGUCUAAUAUUGUGUUAAUCCCCCUUUUGCUGCCAAAACAGCACUGACUGGUCGAGGCAUGAACUCUACUAGAUCCCUGAAGGUGUGCUGUAGUAUCUGGCACCAAGAUGUUAGCAUCAGAUCCUUUAAGUCCUCUAAAUUGUGAGGUCGGGCCUCCCUGGAUCGGACUUGUUUGUCCAGCACAUCCCACAGAUGCUCGAUUGGAUUGAGAUCUGGGGAAUUUGGAGGCCAAGUCAACACCUCAAACUCAUUGUUGUGCUCAUCAAACCAUUCCUGAAAAGCACUUUUUUGCUAUGUGGCAUUGGCAUAUUAACCUGCUGAAUUAGGCCACAGGCAUCAGGGAAUACUGUUUCCAUGAAUGGGUGUACAUGGUCUGCAACAAUGCUUAGGUAGGUGGUACGUGUCAAAGUAACAUCCACAUGGAUGGCAGAACCCAAGGUUUCUAACACAUCAAAUUUAAGGACAAAAUGUUCACUUACUGCCUAAUAUAUCCCACCCACUAACAGGUGCCAUGAUGAGGAGAUAUUUAGUGUUAUUUACCUGUCAGUGCUCAUAAUGUUAUGGCUGAUCGGUGUAUAUGAAAGAUGUACUGUCUGUGUGUUUACAUGAAUAUGUACAUGUACAGGUUGUUGGCAAAAUUCUGGCAGGAGUUGUAGUAAGCCUGAACUUGGGCCAAACCAUUCUAAUAUUCUUUCUCUGUGGACCGAGCCAUAAAUUGUGAGUGUUUCCUUAAAAUGUUUCAAUGUGACACUGCUAGUUUAUGCACACUGUAAAAAUUAAAAUUUAGUGCCAUCCAAAUGUAUCUCGUUCUCUGGCUUUACCUAUUUGGGAGAUUUAUACUUGUCUUUUUUCCAAAAAUGAAAGAAAGAUAUAUUUUUUGUUCUAAAUUUUAGAAGGAAGAUUUUCUUUUGUGUUCUCAGAGUGGCUAUAUUCAUAAACCUUUGUUUUACAGAGAACACACACCAAACCACAUCGAGCCGACGGAAUCGUAGGGUUUCUUACUGGUGUACCGGCUUGGUCGUGUUUAGUUGCAUGAAUGUAGCAUUGACUAUAGCUUUUGUAUUAGUAUUAUUUUUGUGUGAUUAAUACCUGAAGAGCCCAAGACCAUGAUAUUUUAAUGAUGUGUAUGAUGUUUUAAUUAUUAUUAUUUUUUAAAUUUCAUAUAUCUUUGGGGUGAAAAUGCAAAAAUAUAAAUUGAUAAUAAUAGUAAAAGUAACUAUUCAUAGUUUAUUAUUGAUUUUAUUGCUUAUGAUGAGUGUAGAUUUUGUAUUUUAGAGAAAUAUCUAUCUUUAUUUUGAAAAAAGAGAAUCUACAGUCCCCUCCCACAGUACUGAAAUGGCAAUAUUUUUUGUUAUAGACAUUUGGGAUUGAGAUUAAGCGAUGGAUAUAAAAUGUUAGAUCAGAAUUUCAGCUUUCAUUUCCUGAUAUAUACAUCUAGAUGUGUUAAACUACUUAGAACAUGAUGCUUUUUUGUUUGAACCCACCCAUUUUUCAAGUGACCAAAAGUAUUGGAAUGCAACUGAUAGGUGUUUCUUGUUACUGUGCCCUGUUACAUUGAAUAUUUAAACAAAUUAAUAGCUAUGUCAGUAAAGAUUACAUAUAUAUGUAAAGUUAAACCAAAAUGAACACCAGAGAGCUGUCUAUUGGAGUACUUUAAGCCUUGGACAAGCAUUGGGCAUAGCCACUACAACAAACAUUUGGAAUGUACUGAAAAAGAAAGAAAAACAAUGGUGUACUAACAACCCCACAUCGAACUGGUUAGAGCCAAAUGCAACAAAAGAAAGUCUAAACAGAUGUAACAACAAAAACUCUGAUGUCUCAUUUGUAGUAGUGGACUUAGAUCAUGUCUAAUUCUCUAGAAGUAAGGGCUGCUGUUUGGAAAACUCUUUUUAAACGAGG